AGUCUGCCUCCCUCGGCGGGCCGGGUCUCCAGGGAGGACCUGAUUUUUCUUCACCCAUAGUUAGGGAGGCGCAAUCGCCCUGGCUUUGGGGCUGGGGCCUCCGGGGAGGUUCCGGUAGGGGCGUUGGAGAGGCCGCUCUUUUUGCAAGGCCCGAGACGGCGGGCCCUGCGCAGGCCGCCCUAUUCCGCGCCCUCAGGGCGUCAGUAUCCGCCUGAGGCCGGAUACCCCAGCUGGGCCCGGAUGCCGUCGAUGGGCCCGGAGCAUCCUCGGCGCUGCCCUCCCAGAGCCCCGCAGAGGCUGAGGUGGCGCGGGGGGCGGGCCCGGCUCCGCGAGAAGCAGCGGCAGCGAGGGCUGGAGGACCCGGGCUACGGGGCUCUGGGGCGUCUGGCCUGGGUGGGACUGAGCCCAUUCGGGGGGACUCCGGGGUUCUGGUGUAGGUAGAUCCGGGGCAGGCUCAGGACCAAGUCCCUCUCCUUCCACCAAGGAGCGCCCAGAGGCCGGCGGGAGCUCCAGGUUCACCUCCUCCUCCUCCAGGAAAUCCCACUUCCAACUGGAUGUCUGGAUGAACUACUGAAAGCUGCUGAGUGUCCUGCAGCAGGGUCGGUGGACCUGGGUGUCUGUCUGGACACAUCCUCCAGUGGCCUGGACCUGCCCAUGAAGGUGGUGGACAUGUUCAGGAGCUGUUUGCCUGCGUGUGCUGUGAACUUCAAGUGAGCCAAGAGCUGGUUAGAGCUGCAAGGACACCGCCUGCACAGGAUGCCCGGGGCUGGGCAUUACCUGCUGCAAUGACAACAUCUGGCUGGAUGGCAGAGAGCUGACAGACCGUCGCGACGUCCCAGUCCAGCUGGGCCACUGUCACCCUGGGGCUGUCUAAGUUGGCAGUGAUAUCUGCACCUAAUGAGAGGCCAUUGAGAAGGACAUUCCCUCAGAGCUGCUAGAGGACCCAGCUGUGACAGUCCCUGAAGAUGUAUGCCCGGGGGUGGCACAUCUUGCAGAUGGCCAGGCCUGUGAGGCCAGCACCACUGCCAAGCUCUAGGACAGUCCUGGUGGGAGGAAAGGGGGUCAUGUCUGCGACUGCACCAGGGUAAGCCUGCCUCGGUGCCCUGCCCUGUGCCCUGAGGUCACCUAUCAGUGAAGGCUGCUGGGUUCUCGAUGGCCCAUUCUGCAAGGUAGAGGGCGGCAUCCCAUGUGACCAGGACUGUGAUGCCGUGGGAGAUGAUGGCUGUGCUCUUGGAGAGUGUGACUGAGCCUCCCGAGGGCAGCACCAAGAGAAGGCGAGAGAGUCAGUCCAGCGAUCAGAAGGCAAGUGGCUUAGAAGACAAGCAGCCAUCCACCACAUGGCUGAAUAAACCAUGACAGGACAAAUCGCCACUCAGCAAUGAGAAGCAGCUAACUGUUGACAUGCCAACAGCUUGCACAGGCCUCAAGGGUGUCACGUGGCAUGAAAGACACUCAUCUCAGGCCACACAGGAUUCCAUUCAUUGAACAUUCCUGAGACAAUGGAAUUCUGGCGAUGGAGCACAGGUCAGUUGUGGCCAGGGGCCGGGUGUGGCUAUGAAGGGGUGGCUGCCUUGUGAUGAUUCAAUAUGCUAUGUUUUUCCUUUG
rnacentral:lncRNA from 1 species